rnacentral:rRNA from 1 species
GACGAACGCUGGCGGCGUGCCUAAUACAUGCAAGUUGAGCGCUGAAGGUUGGUACUUGUACCAACUGGAUGAGCAGCGAACGGGUGAGUAACGCGUGGGGAAUCUGCCUUUGAGCGGGGGACAACAUUUGGAAACGAAUGCUAAUACCGCAUAAAAACUUUAAACACAAGUUUUAAGUUUGAAAGAUGCAAUUGCAUCACUCAAAGAUGAUCCCGCGUUGUAUUAGCUAGUUGGUGAGGUAAAGGCUCACCAAGGCGAUGAUACAUAGCCGACCUGAGAGGGUGAUCGGCCACAUUGGGACGGAGACACGGCCCAAACUCCUACGGGAGGCAGCAGUAGGGAAUCUUCGGCAAUGGACGAAAGUCUGACCGAGCAACGCCGCGGGAGUGAAGAAGGGUGUCGGAUCGUAAAACUCUGUUGGUAGAGAAGAACGUUGGUGAGAGUGGAAAGCUCAUCAAGUGACGGUAACUACACAGAAAGGGACGGCUAACUACGUG